rnacentral:rRNA from 1 species
GUAUACCGUGAGGAGUGCUGGAGCGUUAAGAAGUGAGAAUGCCGGUAUGAGUAGCGCAAGAUAAGUGAGAAUCUUAUCCACCGUAAGACUAAGGUUUCCAGGGGAAGGCUCGUCCGCCCUGGGUUAGUCGGGACCUAAGGCGAGGCCGAAAGGCGUAGUCGAUGGACAACUGGUUGAUAUUCCAGUACUAGAUAUAAUCGUGAUGGAGGGACGCAGUAGGCUAAGAGAUGCCAGUUAAUGGAUUCUGGUCUAAGCAGUGAGGUGUGAGAUGUGUCAAAUGCAUUUCUCUUUAACAUUGAGCUGUGAUGGGGAAGCAAC